rnacentral:piRNA from 1 species
UGAUAGGUCCAUAGAUAAACCAGAGUUCUGC